AAGUCGUAACAAGGUCUCCGUUGGUGAACCAGCGGAGGGAUCAUUACCGAGUUUUCAACUCCCAAACCCAUGUGAACAUACCAACUGUUGCUUCGGCGGACCGCCCCGGGUGCUGCGUGCCCCGGAGCCAGGCGCCCGCCGGAGACCCCUAAACUUUUGUUUUCUUAAUGAAUCUUCUGAGUAGCGCAAGCAAAAAAAAUAAAUCAAAACUUUCAACAACGGAUCUCUUGGUUCUG
rnacentral:misc_RNA from 1 species